rnacentral:rRNA from 1 species
UACAGAGGGGGCAAGCGUUGUUCGGAAUUACUGGGCGUAAAGGGCGCGUAGGCGGCCUGCUAAGUCGAACGUGAAAUCCCCGGGCUCAACCCGGGAACUGCGUCCGAUACUGGCAGGCUUGAAUCCGGGAGAGGGAUGUGGAAUUCCAGGUGUAGCGGUGAAAUGCGUAGAUAUCGGGAGGAACACCAGCGGCGAAGGCGGCUUUCUGGACCAGCACCGACGUUCAGGCACGAAAGCGUGGGGAGCAAACAGG